UAAAAACUUGUUUUAUACGUAAUCGAUUUGCAUAUAGUAAAAUAAUGAAAAUAUAAAAACCAAAAAACAAAUAAAGAUAUAUAACUCAAUGUAAAAAAACAAGCAAAAUAGAAAAAAUAAAUAAAAUUUUGAAACAAAUAAAUCAAACAAUUUUUGGAAUAAAUAAUCAUAUAAACCUCAAAUACAUGAUUUACAUAAUUUUCAUGAGUAAAAAACUGAAAAAUAAAGAAGAAAAAAAUAAAAACCAAAGAAUGGGACCGAUAAAACAGGAAACAAUAAGCUCUUCCAAAAAAUAAGGAGUGAACCGAAAAAUAAUUACAAUAUAUUGAGUAUAUUUAUCAAAGGGUAAUUCAGUAAAAACACAACACCCCUAAAAAUCGGCCCAUUACUAACCAAUGCAGAAAACCCGGUUUUGGAGAGGUGUCUUGCACACCAGGUGUCCAUUUAUCACUACUC
rnacentral:lncRNA from 1 species